ensembl:misc_RNA Metazoa_SRP Metazoan signal recognition particle RNA
GUCGGGUGCAGUGGCGCGCGCCUGUAAUCCAAGCUGCUGGGAGACUGAGGCUGGUGGAUCGCUUGAGUUCCGGGGUUCUGGGCUGCAGUGGACUAUGUUGAUCAGGUGUCCACACUAAGUUCGAUAUCGAUAUGGUGCUCCUGGGGGAGCUCGGGACCACCAGGUCGUCUAAGGAGGGGUGAACCGGCCCAGGUCGGAGACGGAGCAGGUCAAAGCCCCCGUGUCGAUCAGUAGUGGGAUCACACCUGUGAAUAGACACUGCAGUGCAGCCUGAGCGAUACAGAGAGACCCAGACUUUU